rnacentral:misc_RNA from 1 species
GAUGAAGAACGUAGCGAAAUGCGAUAAGUAAUGCGAAUUGCAGAAUUCAGUGAAUCAUCGAAUCUUUGAACGCACAUUGCGCCCGCCAGCAUUCUGGCGGGCAUGCCUGUUCGAGCGUCAUUUCAACCCUCGAGCCCCCCCGGGGGCCUCGGUGUUGGGGGACGGCACACCAGCCGCCCCCGAAAUGCAGUGGCGACCCCGCCGCAGCCUCCCCUGCGUAGUAGCACACACCUCGCACCGGAGCGCGGAGGCGGUCACGCCGUAAAACGCCCAACUUUCUUAGAGUUGACCUCGGAUCAGGUAGGAAUACCCGCUGAACUUAAGCAUAUCAUAGCGGAGGA